GGAUCUAUGAUGACAAACCAAUGUUAUGAAGAGAGGUGAUGACAUAAAAAUCAUGCUCAAUGGGAUUACGCUGAUGCCC
ensembl:snoRNA SNORD115 Small nucleolar RNA SNORD115